GGAUCCAGACUUUGAUUCUGGCUCAGGAUGAACGCUAGCUACAGGCUUAACACAUGCAAGUCGAGGGGAAACGACAUCGAAAGCUCGCUUUUGAUGGGCGUCGACCGGCGCACGGGUGAGUAACGCGUAUCCAACCUGCCCAUCACUUGGGGAUAACCUUGCGAAAGUAAGACUAAUACCCAAUGAUAUCUCUAGAAGACAUCUGAAAGAGAUUAAAGAUUUAUCGGUGAUGGAUGGGGAUGCGUCUGAUUAGCUUGUUGGCGGGGUAACGGCCCACCAAGGCAACGAUCAGUAGGGGUCCUGAGAGGAAGGUCCCCCACAUUGGAACUGAGACACGGUCCAAACUCCUACGGGAGGCAGCAGUGAGGAAUAUUGGUCAAUGGACGAGAGUCUGAACCAGCCAAGUAGCGUGCAGGAUGACGGCCCUAUGGGUUGUAAACUGCUUUUAUAAGGGAAUAAAGUGAGUCUCGUGAGACUUUUUGCAUGUACCUUAUGAAUAAGGACCGGCUAAUUCCGUGCCAGCAGCCGCGGUAAUACGGAAGGUCCGGGCGUUAUCCGGAUUUAUUGGGUUUAAAGGGAGCGUAGGCCGGAGAUUAAGCGUGUUGUGAAAUGUAGAUGCUCAACAUCUGAACUGCAGCGCGAACUGGUUUCCUUGAGUACGCACAAAGUGGGCGGAAUUCGUGGUGUAGCGGUGAAAUGCUUAGAUAUCACGAAGAACUCCGAUUGCGAAGGCAGCUCACUGGAGCGCAACUGACGCUGAAGCUCGAAAGUGCGGGUAUCGAACAGGAUUAGAUACCCUGGUAGUCCGCACGGUAAACGAUGGAUGCCCGCUGUUGGUCUGAAUAGGUCAGCGGCCAAGCGAAAGCAUUAAGCAUCCCACCUGGGGAGUACGCCGGCAAGGGUGCAACUCAAAGGAAUUGACGG
rnacentral:rRNA from 2 species